rnacentral:rRNA from 1 species
UAAUACGAAGGGACCUAGCGUAGUUCGGAAUUACUGGGCUUAAAGAGUUCGUAGGUGGUUAAAAUAGUUGGUGGUGAAAUCCCAGAGCUUAACUCUGGAACUGCCAUCAAAACUUUUUAGCUAGAGUAUGAUAGAGGAAAGUAGAAUUUCUAGUGUAGAGGUGAAAUUCGUAGAUAUUAGAAAGAAUACCAAUUGCGAAGGCAGCUUUCUGGAUCAUUACUGACACUGAGGAACGAAAGCAUGGGUAGCGAAGAGGAUUAGAUACCCUCGUAGUCCAUGCCGUAAACGAUGUGUGCUAGACGUUGGAAAUUUUAUUUUCAGUGUCGCAGCAGAAGCGAUAAGCACACCGCCUGGGGAGUACGACCGCAAGGUUAAAACUCAAAUGAAUUGACGGGGACCCGCACAAGUAGUGGAGCAUGUGGUUUAAUUCGAAGAUACGCGCAGAACCUUACCAACACUUGACAUGUUCGUCGCGACUCUAAGAGAUUAGAGUUUUCGGUUCGGCCGGACGAAACACAGGUGCUGCAUGGCUGUCGUCAGCUCGUGUCGUGAGAUGUUGGGUUAAGUCCCGCAACGAGCGCAACCCUCACUUUUAGUUGCUACCAUUUAGUUGGGCACUCUGAAAGAACUGCCAGUGAUAAGCUGGAGGAAGGUGGGGAUGACGUCAAGUCCUCAUGGCCCUUACGUGUUGGGCUACACACGUGCUACAAUGGCAUCUACAACAGGAAGCAAGAAUGCGAAUUCAAGCAAAUCCCUAAAAGAUGCCUCAGUUCGGAUUGUACUCUGCAACUCGAGUACAUGAAGAUGGAAUUACUAGUAAUCGCGGAUCAGCGUGCCGCGGUGAAUACGUUCCCGGGUCUUGUACACACCGCCCGUCGCACCAUGGGAGUUGGUUCUACCUUAAGGCAAAAUGUUAACCUUCGGGAAGC